UUAGAGUAUUAAACCAUAUUAGAUCCCAUUUUGAAACAAUACAAGUUCAAACAAAUCUAAAAUUGUACGUGUCUAUUUCAAAGAUGAUCGUUAAAAUUUAUGAUAAACGGGCCAAAAUGGUCAAUAGUUGGGCCUUGCGAGUCAUAACUCAUAACUGCCUAGGGUUUUUAACCUAACAUCAACAUUCAACAAUCUCGUCGUUAUUUAUACGCCGCGCCUGAAACCAAACCUGUCUGCAUUACUGAAACGAAGAUCGUCUCUUCCAAACGCCGAUUCUAGGGUUUACGGCUGUCAGAAUAAUGUAAAGAAUGCCCAAUGAUGGAAAAUCAUAUACUUGAAUAGGUAUUUUUGUAUAUCUUUUCGUCCAUUGUUGUUCUUUGCCACGAAUUUUAAAUUUUUUUCUUCACAAGCACACAAAUCACACAAAAAUGUUUUUAUCGUGGUAAAGUUAAUGACUCUGGAUGAAUAGUUAAUACCAAUUGUAAAUCCUUACAUGAUCAAUAGCUAUGAGAUCUGAGGGCUCCUUUAUCCUUUUAGCAUUUUGUUAAUGUUUUGAUUGAUGAAUGACUUCAAAUAUUUUUCUUCUUAGGUUAAUAUAUUUUUAAGAACUAAAGCACAUUCGAAGGCUUGACAAAGUCUAUAUAAUCGAAGCUUGUUGAGCUCAAAAGUUGUGCAAGAUGUUAUGUUGUCAAAUUUUAUAAAGUUCAUUGGCUAUUAAUGUUUGCAGGAUGAUACCAAAAUUUGACGAAAAUUUCUUAGGUUAAAGUAAUCGACAGUUUUUUUUUUAAUAUCUAUUUUCUAAAAUACUUUCUUGUUAUAUUUCAUAUGGCAUAUUAUGGGAUGUUGUUAUGCUAUAUGGAUGAUUAAGUUCAUCGUCGUUGAUGUUUUUUUUAUUGACAGGAUCGAUGCGAUUAUUUUUAUGAUGUCACACCUAUAUACGCAAUUAUCUUAUGAAAGCCUUUUUAAACAAUUUAAACCUGCCUGCAUAAUUUGUAAGAGUUGCAUAAAUUGGUAAAAGUGUGAAAUUUUGUUGCAUGAAUUGUUAAAAGGUGUAAUUAACAUUUCAAAGCUACAGGCGGCACUUAUGACCAGAGCUGAAAAACUGGAUAAGGAAAAUAUUACAUCAAAUAA